rnacentral:rRNA from 1 species
AACGAACGCUGGCGGCAUGCCUAACACAUGCAAGUCGAACGAAGGCUUCGGCCUUAGUGGCGCACGGGUGCGUAACGCGUGGGAAUCUGCCCUUUGGUUCGGAAUAGCAGCUGGAAACGGCUGCUAAUACCGGAUGAUGACGAAAGUCCAAAGAUUUAUCGCCAGAGGAUGAGCCCGCGUUGGAUUAGGUAGUUGGUGGGGUAAAGGCCUACCAAGCCGACGAUCCAUAGCUGGUCUGAGAGGAUGAUCAGCCACACUGGGACUGAGACACGGCCCAGACUCCUACGGGAGGCAGCAGUGGGGAAUAUUGGACAAUGGGCGCAAGCCUGAUCCAGCAAUGCCGCGUGAGUGAUGAAGGCCCUAGGGUUGUAAAGCUCUUUUACCCGGGAAGAUAAUGACUGUACCGGGAGAAUAAGCCCCGGCUAACUCCGUG